GUCCAGACUCCUACGGGAGGCAGCAGUGGGGAAUAUUGCACAAUGGGGGAAACCCUGAUGCAGCGACGCCGCGUGAGUGAAGAAGUAUUUCGGCAUGUAAAGCUCUAUCAGCAGGGAAGAUAAUGACGGUACCUGACUAAGAAGCCCCGGCUAACUACGUGCCAGCAGCCGCGGUAAUACGUAGGGGGCAAGCGUUAUCCGGAUUUACUGGGUGUAAAGGGUGCGUAGGUGGCAUGGCAAGUCAGAAGUGAAAGUCCGGUGCUCAACCCCGCGGACUGUUUUUGAAACUGUCAGGCUGGAGUACAGGAGAGGUAAGCGGAAUUCCUAGUGUAGCGGUGAAAUGCGUAGAUAUUAGGAGGAACACCAGUGGCGAAGGCGGCUUACUGGACUGUAACUGACGCUGAGGCACGAAAGCGUGGGGAGCAAACAGGAUUAGAUACCCCCGUAUA
rnacentral:rRNA from 1 species